UGUGCAGAAGGUGAAUGUGUAAGUAGAGAUACUGGAGUGAUAGAUGUGCAGAAGGUGAAUGUGUAAGUAGAGAUACUGGGGUGAUAGAUGUGCAGAAGGUGAAUGUGCAAGUAGAGAUACUGGAGUGAUAGAUGUGCAGAAGGUGAAUGUGCAAGUAGAGAUACUGGAGUGAUAGAUGUGCAGAAGGUGA